UACGGAGGAUGCAAGCGUUAUCCGGAAUGAUUGGGCGUAAAGGGUCCGCAGGUGGCAAUGUGUGUCUGCUGUCAAAGAUGAGGCUUAACCUCAUCAAGGCAGUGGAAACUACAUAGCUAGAGUACGGUCGGGGUAGAAGGAAUUCCUGGUGUAGCGGUGAAAUGCGUAGAGAUCAGGAAGAACACCGGUGGCGAAGGCGGCAUCCUGGACCGACAUUGACGCUGAGGAGCGAAAGCCAGGGGAGCAAACGGG
rnacentral:rRNA from 1 species